rnacentral:misc_RNA from 1 species
GUUUCACCGGACUUAUUAGAAGGGCACCUGUCAAUGACGUACAUUUUAUAAUUCAGACAAAUCGUGCACUGACCGUAAUUUUCAAUUGCAUCGCCGCGUGGCUACGUGGCAAAUAGAAACAGCGAGCAUAAGUUUCACCGUCAAUUGCGAGUACGGAUACUCCUCCCAAAAUAAACAGGCUGACAUGGCCGCGGUGGUCUGGGGAUGGAAGACGAGCGGAGCAGGGAAUGGUUUAGGUGAGCUGUCAGAUGCGAGAUGGUCAGGCACGUGAGUUACCGACACACAUGAGACGUGAGAGAGUUAAAGCUUAAACGGAGGGAAUAGCUCUUUGGAGAGAGAGAGAGAGUCGGUUAGUGGCGGUUAGAAAGGUGGUGAGGUGGUUAAAUAUGGUUAGUGUUGAGGUUAAUUGACUUAACCUGGGUUA